UAGCGGCGGACGGGUGAGUAACACGUGGGCAACCUGCCUCAUAGAGGGGAAUAGCCUUCCGAAAGGAAGAUUAAUACCGCAUAACAUUGUUGAAAGGCAUCUUUUAACAAUCAAAGGAGCAAUCCGCUAUGAGAUGGGCCCGCGGCGCAUUAGCUAGUUGGUGAGGUAACGGCUCACCAAGGCGACGAUGCGUAGCCGACCUGAGAGGGUGAUCGGCCACAUUGGAACUGAGACACGGUCCAGACUCCUACGGGAGGCAGCAGUGGGGAAUAUUGCACAAUGGGGGAAACCCUGAUGCAGCAACGCCGCGUGAGUGAUGAAGGUCUUCGGAUUGUAAAGCUCUGUCUUUAGGGACGAUAAUGACGGUACCUAAGGAGGAAGCCACGGCUAACUACGUGCCAGCAGCCGCGGUAAUACGUAGGUGGCAAGCGUUAUCCGGAUUUACUGGGCGUAAAGGGAGCGUAGGCGGAUAUUUAAGUGGGAUGUGAAAUACCCGAGCUUAACUUGGGAGCUGCAUUCCAAACUGGAUAUCUAGAGUGCAGGAGAGGAGAAUGGAAUUCCUAGUGUAGCGGUGAAAUGCGUAGAGAUUAGGAAGAACACCAGUGGCGAAGGCGAUUCUCUGGACUGUAACUGACGCUGAGGCUCGAAAGCGUGGGGAGCAAACAGGAUUAGAUACCCUGGUAGUCCACGCUGUAAACGAUGAAUACUAGGUGUAGGGGCCCCAAGCCUCUGUGCCGCCGCUACGCAUUUAAGUAUUCCGCCUGGGGGAGUACGGUCGCAAGAUUAAAAC
rnacentral:rRNA from 1 species